UCAGCUCCACGCCUUCAAUCUUAUCCACAACUCCUAAAAGAAAUACAAUAAUCCAGUGCUCUCAUCUCCACCUUAAUUAUCGUGGUACACAACGCCAUUAACGUUGUACAUUCUUUCCGAUAUUACCCUUUGCGUAGGUAAAAUAAACAAACACAAUCUGUUGCGCACCUACACUAUAAAAACCAUACCGAACAUCAGGUGAUUCCUAUCGAAAAUAUCUAAAUUUAACUAUCAAUCCACAAUCUUUCUAUUCUUCCCCAAAUACACAGUCUUUUACAAGUUUUUUUCUAUCUCAAUCAAUCACAUUUCUAAAUUUUCUCUCUGCAUUUGACCUAACAAUGGCUACAAUCAUCACCUGCUCAGCUCUCUCUUCGAUCAGAGCAUCUUCUGAACCCGGAUCCGUCAAUAAAUCGGAUCCGACCCGGAAGAAACCCGCUUCCUCGGUUUCGUGGUG
rnacentral:lncRNA from 1 species